rnacentral:lncRNA from 1 species
CCUUAUUCUCCAGGUGGAGCCUGAUUUCUAUUUCUUUUGUCCUUGUUCUCCAGGUGGACGCCUGAUUUCUUAUUUCUUUGUCCUUGUUCUCCAGGUGGACGCCUGAUUUCUUCUUUUCUUUGUCCUUGUUCUCCAGGUGGACGCCUGAUUUCUAUUUUUCUUUGUCCUUGUUCUCCAGGUGGACGCCUGAUUUCUUCUUUUCUUUGUCCUUGUUCUCCAGGUGGACGCCUGACUUCUAUUUUUCUUUGGC